rnacentral:rRNA from 1 species
UACGAAGGGGGCUAGCGUUGCUCGGAAUCACUGGGCGUAAAGCGCACGUAGGCGGAUCUUUAAGUCAGGGGUGAAAUCCUGGAGCUCAACUCCAGAACUGCCUUUGAUACUGGGGAUCUCGAGUCCGGGAGAGGUGAGUGGAACUGCGAGUGUAGAGGUGAAAUUCGUAGAUAUUCGCAAGAACACCAGUGGCGAAGGCACUUUACUGGGCUAUUACUAACACUCAGAGACGAAAGCUAGGGUAGCAAAUGGG